rnacentral:rRNA from 1 species
CUUAACCUGGGAAUGGCAUUCGAAACUGGUCAGCUAGAGUUUGGUAGAGGUAAGCGGAAUUCCGGGUGUAGCGGUGAAAUGCGUAGAUAUCCGGAGGAACAUCAGUGGCGAAGGCGGCUUACUGGACCAAAACUGACGCUCAGGCACGAAAGCGUGGGUAGCAAACAGGAUUAGAUACCCUGGUAGUCCACGCCCUAAACUAUGUCAACUAGCCGUUGGGUCCCCUUAAUAGGACUUAGUGGCGAAGCUAACGCGUUAAGUUGACCGCCUGGGGAGUACGGCCGCAAGGUUGAAACUCAAAGGAAUUGACGGGGGCCCGCACAAGCGGUGGAGCAUGUGGUUUAAUUCGAUGCAACGCGAAGAACCUUACCAGCCCUUGACAUCCUCGGAACUUGGUAGAGAUACCUUGGUGCCUUCGGGAACCG